rnacentral:misc_RNA from 2 species
GUGGGAGCAAAGCUUGCUCGCGAUCCAGGCACCUCGGUUUUCUGAGUUACCGAGUCGCCUUCAUCGCGAGCAAGCUUUGCUCCCAC